AAGGAGUUGGAUCUCCCAAACGGAUCAAUUUCUUGCCUUUUACCAGAGAUUGCCGUGGGAUGGCCAAUUACACUCCGUUCACCAAAUCUUUGGAAACCCACAUU
rnacentral:snRNA from 1 species